rnacentral:rRNA from 1 species
GACGAACGCUGGCGGCGUGCUUAACACAUGCAAGUCGAACGGUGAAGCGCCUUCCUUUUUGGUGGGUGUGGAUGAGUGGCGAACGGGUGAGUAACACGUGAGUAACCUGCCCCCUUCUUCUGGAUAACCGCAUGAAAGUGUGGCUAAUACGGGAUAUUCUGGGUCUGUCGCAUGAUGGGUCUGGGAAAGAUAUUGUUUCGGUGGGGGAUGGGCUCGCGGCCUAUCAGCUUGUUGGUGGGGUGAUGGCCUACCAAGGCGGUGACGGGUAGCCGGCCUGAGAGGGUGGACGGUCACACUGGGACUGAGACACGGACAAGACUCCUACGGGAGGCAGCAGUGGGGAAUAUUGCACAAGGGGAGCAAGCCUGAUGCAGCGACGCCGCGUGAGGGAUGGAGGCCUUCGGGUUGUGAACCUCUUUCGCCAGUGAAGCAGGCCUGCCUCGUUUGUGGGUGGGUUGACGGUAGCUGGAUAAGAAGCGCCGGCUAACUACGUG